AGCUUAGUUUAGGGUUUAAAACCAUAAUGCUAACUAAAGGAAAAAUUCAGUUUAGGGUUUUAAACCCUAAUGCUGACUGAAAGGAAAAAAUUUAGUUUAGGGUUUUAAACCCUAAUGCUGACUGAAAGGAAAAAUUCAGUUUAGGGUUUAAAACUCUAAUGCUGACUGAAAGGAAAAUUCAGUUUAGGGUUUAAAACCCUAAUUCUGACUGGAAGGAAAAGCUCAGUUUGAGGUUUAAAACCCUAAUGCUGGCUGAAUGGGAAAAAGUUCAGUUUAGGGUUUAAAACCCUAAUGCUGACUAGAAGGAAAAGCUCAGUUUAGGGUUUAAAACCCUAAUGCUGGCUAAAGGAAAAAUUCAGUUUAGGGUUUAAAACCCUAAUGCUGAUCGCAUGGAAAAGCUCAGUUUAGGGUUUAAAACCCUAAUGCUGGCUGAAUGGAAAAAAGUUCAGUUUAGGGUUUAAAACCCUAAUGUUGAAUGGAAGGAAAAGCUCAGUUUGGAGUUUUAAACCCUAAUGCUGGCUGUAUGGGAAAAAGUUCAGUUUAGGGUUUAAAACCCUAAUGCUGAUUGCACGGAAAAGCUCAGUUUGGGGUUUAAAACCCUAAUGCUGGCUGAAUGGAAAAAUGUUCAGUUUAGGGUUUAAAACCCUAAUGCUGAUUACAUGGAAAAAUUCAGUUUAGGGUUUAAAACCCUAAUGCUGGCUGAAUGGAAAAAAGUACAGUUUAGGGUUUAAAACCCUAAUGCUGACUAAAAGGAAAAUUUAGUUUAGGGUUUAAAACCCUAAUGCUGAUUACAUGGAAAAGCUCAGUUUAGAGUUUAAAACCCUAAUGCUGACUAAAGGAAAAAUUCAGUUUAGGGUUUAAAACCCUAAUGCUUAUUGAAUGGAAAAGCUCAGUUUAGGGUUUAAAACCCUAAUGCUGGCUGAAUGGAAAAAAGUUCAGUUUAGGGUUUAAAGCCCUAAUGCUGACUACAUGGAAAAGCUCAGUUUGGGGUUUAAAACCCUAAUUCUGGCUAAAGGAAAAAUUCAGUUUAAGGUUUAAAACCCUAAUGCUGAUCGCAUGGAAAAGCUCAAUUUAGGGUUUAAAACCCUAAUGCUGGCUGAAUGGAAAAAAGUUCAGUUUAGGGUUUAAAACCCUAAUGCUGACUAGAAAGAAAAGCUCAGUUUGGGGUUUAAAACUCUAAUGCUGGCUAAAGGAAAAAUUCAGUUUAGGGUUUAAAAC
rnacentral:lncRNA from 1 species